UGCCUCCUUGAACAGUUACAGAGUGGUGGUUGUUGUCCUGUGCUCUUGUCGGACAUGCUUACAGAAGUGUGGGAUGUCAUCAAACUUCUCAACGCUCUGGAUUGGAAAAUAAUUACUUGGUCUGUUUUGCUAGCUUUUGUGUAGUAGUGAAUUUUUUCAACACAUCAUUUGUUCUUUGGAAAUGGCAGAUGAUUUACUUCAAUGGCAAUAUGCUGACAAUAGAAUGGGAACUAGACAUUUCCUUUUCAUAACUCUUGUCUAGCAAGGUUUGUAAUUAUUUGAAUGAGAAUGGUUAUUGGUGUACUUGGUGUACAAGACAUGGCAUCACCUCAAAAUGCACCAAUAAAAAAAAAGUUGUUGCUUAAAUAAAGAAGGUUGGUCCAGUAGCUCCGGCUGAAACCAAGAAAGUGUCCAAAACUUCUGUUACAAUCUGUCAUUUCUGCUUCAAAAGACUCGGAAGUUGGUGUCUGCAAAAGUCCCUCAAAGAUGUGUGUAUUCUUCACAUGAAGCAUCCAGAAGUUUACCACCAUUUGGGCAUGUCACCAUCAAGAGGAUUUCUUCUUCACUGUCUGUAUAAAGAAGCCAAGUUUUCAACUUGACAACUCUAUGGAUGAAUUUAUUUCUACUGAAAGUCAAAUCAAUGCUGCCACAGCCUUUGGACAGGGAAUCUCAACCUCAAACUGUCUGAAUAAGAAUAAGGGAAUAUCCUCCCCUCUUCCUUUAUUAUCUUAUCGCCGCAUCCUUGCUACAAACGAAAGGCUUCUUCUUUUCUCAUUUGUUCAGUGAAUUUGGUAAAAAUGAGAGUCAACAUUAUAAUUACCAAGGCAGCAAACCUAUGCAUAUAGUGUGCAGCUUUUCUCUGUAAUCUCAAUUUUGGGAUCCUUCAAUAGUGGCUCAGUCUGAUCUCGUGAGAGGUGAACAGCAUUCGUUUGAUGGAUCGGAUUGCGGACGGCUCAUUUCACUUCACCUUUCUUGAAAUCCGCGCCCUCGCUUUGUCCUCGUGUACAUUCAUGUGAGGGAGAAUGUAUUCACGAGGACGUUCUUUUCUUCUGGACCCACCUUUACUCUCUGCGGAUGGAACACGAACACCUGAAGAUGUCGAACGAUAAUUUCAAGGUGCCGUCCCACGAUAAUAGGACAAGUGUAUCUUACAAACAGCAGUCGGCGACCGACGGGUUUACCGGAAAUGACAGGAGUCGGAACAAAGUGCUAGAUAACAAGGAUCGAAGUCCACCAUGAAGACUUACGUCCAAUAUGAUCUCAGUUGACCAUUAUACGGCGUCGAAUAUUUCGUUGAUUGUUAGACGGCGUCGAAUAUCUCGUUGAUUGUUAGACGGCGCUGCAGAUUGCGCAAUGGUUUAUGGGUCGACAUAUAGAAUCGAAUUUAUUCACGUCCAGCAAAAAUUAAAGUCUAAGCCGGAACAGUGACCUGUAAAUGGACAUCAGCCGGUCAGGAUCGGUGAUCCAUUCGUCCAAGUACGACAAAGAUGAAAUCAAUUUAUGUUGUCCAUUUGUGAGGCAGUUAUAUAAUUUUGAGACUCCAGAUAAUUUAUAUGAAAUAAUUAACUCGGUUAUCUAACAUUCAUUGUGAUUUGCAAUAGAUCUUGUAUUUUCGUAAAUCAGGGUAAUGUGUGUAGAUACUUGUUCGGGUGUUUUCAAUGCAAGAUACAUAGGUAAUGAAUUUUUAUUCAUAAGGAUUAUUAGUAAGUAGAAAUUAACUAGUAUAAACUUAUCGUUUACUUUGUGUCGCGACAACCGGAUUUCUUUAGUUGCAGGACGGCAAAUUUUGGGCUUCGCGGGUGAUGUCGCACCAGUUCCAUUGGACGCCAGAAACCAAAGUAGUCGGGCAGUUCUGCAAAAGAACCCGACAGCUGAUUUUCGUUUGCCGUGAUCAUAGUGGUAAUAACCGCUUCAGUGGUGGUCGGUGGCUCCGUCGUGGUGGUCACGACCGGAUGCAUUUCAUCGAUAACAAGUUCUUCGAUUGGAUCUUCGUCUUCCCAAUA